GGUGGGUACUGCGGAGACAUUA
rnacentral:rRNA from 1 species